rnacentral:rRNA from 1 species
AUGUGCACCACCCGCAUCCUCGACGGCCCGGCGCGCAGCUCCCUCAGCGCCGCCGGAUGCCGGAUGAUGGCGAACACCACGCCCAGCACGAACACGAUCACCGCCGACGGGAUCGCCGACGCCCAGCAACGGCUGUUGUUUCCUUCUCCAUCUUCUUCUUCUUGGGCUCCUUGGACGUGGUCUUGGCCGGCGCCGUUGACGAGGGCGAUGAAGCAUAGGGCGGCGAUAGCGAGCACGAGGCCGUCGAGCCCGGCCCAUGGGCGAGGCUUCCCCACCGCGGACUUGCCCUUGCCAAGGUCCUGCUCGUAG